rnacentral:piRNA from 1 species
UGGCAAAAUAAGAUUACUUAUAAUGGC